GUCCUUUCACCACAAAGAGGCGAACGGCACUGGCGGCGGUGGUCAUGUCCGCAUGGUGCAGCGUGCCAUGGAGGACCUCACGUUCCAGUCAUUCUGCUUUCCUGAGGCCAUCAAGAUGCGGGGAGUUGAGAGCAAGGAGAGUCUGCCGUACUAUCACUACAGGGAUGAUUCACAGAUGGUCUGGGAUGCUGUGCUGAGCUUUGCCACAGAGAUGGUCAACAUAUAAUACGAUGAUGAUGAAGCUGUUCAGACAGACACUGAGUUGCAGGCCUUUGUGAAGGACGUGUUUGUCUAUGGGCUCAAAGACAAUAAACGUUCAGGAUUCCCUAAAUCAGUGAAGACGAUCCGGAAGCUCAUCGAGUACGUGACCGUGAUAAUAUUCACCGCUUCCUGCCAGCAUGCUGCAGUCAAUUUUGGGCAGUACGACUGGUACUCCUGGAUCCCAAACACUCCAUCCACAAUGC